AACGAACGCUGGCGGCAUGCCUAACACAUGCAAGUCGAACGAGACCUUCGGGUCUAGUGGCGCACGGGUGCGUAACGCGUGGGAAUCUGCCCUUGGGUUCGGAAUAACUCAGAGAAAUUUGAGCUAAUACCGAAUGAUGUCGCAAGACCAAAGAUUUAUCGCCCAAGGAUGAGCCCGCGUAGGAUUAGCUUGUUGGUGAGGUAAAAGCUCACCAAGGCGACGAUCCUUAGCUGGUCUGAGAGGAUGAUCAGCCACACUGGGACUGAGACACGGCCCAGACUCCUACGGGAGGCAGCAGUGGGGAAUAUUGGACAAUGGGCGCAAGCCUGAUCCAGCAAUGCCGCGUGUGUGAAGAAGGCCUGCGGGUUGUAAAGCACUUUUGUUCGGGAAGAAAUCAUGUCGGUUAAUACCCGAUGUGGAUGACGGUACCGAAAGAAUAAGCACCGGCUAACUUCGUGCCAGCAGCCGCGGUAAAGUGACU
rnacentral:rRNA from 1 species